rnacentral:rRNA from 1 species
AUUGAACGCUGGCGGCAUGCUUUACACAUGCAAGUCGAACGGUAACAGGUCUUCGGAUGCUGACGAGUGGCGGACGGGUGAGUAAUGCAUCGGAACGUGCCCAGUCGUGGGGGAUAACGCAGCGAAAGCUGUGCUAAUACCGCAUACGAUCUAUGGAUGAAAGCGGGGGACCGUAAGGCCUCGCGCGAUUGGAGCGGCCGAUGUCAGAUUAGCUAGUUGGUGGGGUAAAGGCCCACCAAGGCGACGAUCUGUAGCUGGUCUGAGAGGACGACCAGCCACACUGGGACUGAGACACGGCCCAGACUCCUACGGGAGGCAGCAGUGGGGAAUUUUGGACAAUGGGCGCAAGCCUGAUCCAGCAAUGCCGCGUGCAGGAAGAAGGCCUUCGGGUUGUAAACUGCUUUUGUACGGAACGAAACGGUCUGGGUUAAUACCCUGGGCUAAUGACGGUACCGUAAGAAUAAGCACCGGCUAACUCUGUGCCAGCCGCCGCCGUAAUAC